rnacentral:rRNA from 1 species
AACGAACGCUGGCGGCAUGCCUAACACAUGCAAGUCGAACGAGACCUUCGGGUCUAGUGGCGCACGGGUGCGUAACGCGUGGGAACCUGCCCUUAGGUUCGGAAUAACUCUCCGAAAGGGGUGCUAAUACCGGAUAAUGUCUUCGGACCAAAGAUUUAUCGCCUUUGGAUGGGCCCGCGUUGGAUUAGCUAGUUGGUAGGGUAAAAGCCUACCAAGGCGACGAUCCAUAGCUGGUCUGAGAGGAUGAGCAGCCACACUGGGACUGAGACACGGCCCAGACUCCUACGGGAGGCAGCAGUGGGGAAUAUUGGACAAUGGGCGAAAGCCUGAUCCAGCAAUGCCGCGUGAGUGAUGAAGGCCUGAGGGUUGUAAAGCUCUUUUACCCGGGAUGAUAAUGACAGUACCGGGAGAAUAAGCACCGGCUAACUCCGUG